GACGAACGCUGGCGGCGUGCCUAAUACAUGCAAGUCGAACGCAGUGGGGACGGGUGAGUAACACGUGGGUAACCUCCCAUCAGAGAGGAUAACCAUUGGAAACAGGUGCUAAACCGAUACUGAUGUGUGGACACGCGGUGCAUUACCUAGUUGGGGAGGUAACGGGGCACCAAUGCCCAGAUGCAUAGCCGCGCAGAGAGGGUGGUCGUCCAUCCUGGGACUGAGACAAGGCCCAGACUCCGACGGGAGGCAGGAGUAGUGAAUCUUCGGCAAUGGAAGAAAGUCUGACCGAGCAAAGCCGCGUGAGUGAAGAAGGUUUGCGGAUCGUAAAACUCUGUUGUUAGAGAAGCGGUAUCUAACCAGAAAGCCACGGCUAACGACGUGCCAGCAGCCGCGGUAAUAC
rnacentral:rRNA from 1 species